GUCCAUGCCGUAAACGGUGGGCACUAGGUGUGGGACUUUCAACGGUUCCGUGCCGAAGCUAACGCAUUAAGUGCCCGCCUGGGAGUACGGCCGCAAGGCUAAACUCAAGGAAUUGACGGGCCCGCACAAGCGGCGGAGCAUGUUGCUUAAUUCGAGGCAACGCGAAGAACCUUACCUGGGUUUGACAUGUACCGAAAGCCAUAGAGAUAUGGUGUCCUUCGGGCGGGUACACAGGUGGUGCAUGGCUGUCGU
rnacentral:rRNA from 1 species